rnacentral:rRNA from 1 species
UGGGGAAUAUUGGACAAUGGGGGCAACCCUGAUCCAGCAAUGCCGCGUGUGUGAAGAAGGCCUUCGGGUUGUAAAGCACUUUUAUCGGGAACGAAACAUUGUCGGCCAAUACCCGGCAAGACUGACGGUACCCGAGGAAUAGGCACCGGCUAACUCCGUGCCAGCAGCCGCGGUAAUACGGAGGGUGCCAGCGUUAAUCGGAAUUACUGGGCGUAAAGCGUGCGCAGGCGGUUUGUUAAGUCUGCUGUGAAAUCCCCGAGCUCAACUUGGGAAUUGCAAUGGAUACUGGCAAGCUGGAGUACGGUAGAGGAUGGUGGAAUUCCUGGCGUAGCAGUGAAAUGCGUAGAGAUCGGGAGGAACACCAGUGGCGAAGGCGGCCUUCUGGACCAGUACUGACGCUCAUGCACGAAAGCGUGGGGAGCAAACA